rnacentral:tRNA from 8 species
GCGGGUGUGGCGAAACUGGUAGACGCACCAGAUUUAGGUUCUGGCGCCUUGGCGUGGGGGUUCGAGUCCCUUCACCCGCACCA